rnacentral:lncRNA from 1 species
CUAGUUUAUACCAUAAAAACUAUCAUAUUGUCAUUAUGCUUAAUAUUAUUUGGCAUAUUCUAUUAUAUUUAGUAUCAGCCAAGUACGUGGUAUAGCACUGAAGAUAAAACCUGUUUGGAUCUCAUACUUCUGUUUAAUUCUGCCUGCUUUGAGGGGAUUGUAGUUUUCGUCAUUACCAAGCUGUUAAUAAUGAAGAAAUGCUCAUUAUUAAUAGCACAAUAUAAAAUAAAUGGCACUGAGUAUUAUGAGGGGGGGAAGGAAUGACACUGACAGCUUUUUCUUUAUUACCUGCAGAGGAGAAGAAAGUAAAGAGCACUAAAGUGGAAGCAAAAGUUAAAAAGGAAGUGAAGGAUGGAAAAGGAGAAGCAAAGAUGGCAGAGAAGGUCAAGCAGGCAGAGACAAAACCAACAGAAACUGGGCUAAUAAAGGCCAAAACGAAAGUUAAGGAGGAGAAAGCUCUUCAGACUGUAACUAAAUCGGACAAGAAAGAAGAAAAGUCUACUGUGGUACCUAGAGAAGGGAAAAGUAAGUUUGGGUUUUUUAUUUUUCCUUCAUCUUCAUGUUAGUUUUAUGCAAGGGACAGGAGUAUAUUUGCUUCUUGGAUUUGAAAAUAUUCCUAUACCUUAAAUAUGUUUCAGUUAAAGAAAAGACUCUUGUUUAAGUGCUUAUGGUUCUAUCUUCUGUAAGAUAAUAAAAC